AAAACGUCAACGAAAACGACCAUGUAAUUCCAAAUUAAAUUGUAUACGAUCUAUAUCUGCUUCUUCGAAUCGCCAAAAUUUGAACUCCAGCCAGAAUCAAAGGAAGCAAGCAGAAAAUCGAAAUCAAAAUGACGUCAUCGAGGAGCCAAUGUAUUGCAACAUAGAGCUUCUGACUAAACAUGACAUGGACUCCUGCAGGUUGAAAAAACCACAUCUUGACGAAGCCAUUGUUUCAAAGAAGUCAAUCCCUAGCGUAACAAAGGUUAUGUCAAAUGAUACUCUGAUAUAUGAAGAUACGAAUUCCAAUAAUGACGUUGACGCUGAGUCUGCUUCGAGGAAGAAACUGUUGCGCGUUAAA